UACGAAGGGUGCAAGCGUUACUCGGAAUUACUGGGCGUAAAGCGUGCGUAGGUGGUUUGUUAAGUCUGAUGUGAAAGCCCUGGGCUCAACCUGGGAAUUGCAUUGGAUACUGGCAGGCUAGAGUGCGGUAGAGGAUGGCGGAAUUCCCGGUGUAGCAGUGAAAUGCGUAGAGAUCGGGAGGAACAUCUGUGGCGAAGGCGACUCACUGGACACGUAUUGACGCUGAGGUGCGAAAGCGUGGGGAGCAAACAGG
rnacentral:rRNA from 1 species